rnacentral:rRNA from 1 species
CCUACGGGAGGCAGCAGUGGGGAAUAUUGCACAAUGGGGGAAACCCUGAUGCAGCGACGCCGCGUGAGUGAAGAAGUAUUUCGGUAUGUAAAGCUCUAUCAGCAGGGAAGAAAAUGACGGUACCUGAUUAAGAAGCCCCGGCUAACUACGUGCCACCAGCCGCGGUCAUACGUAGGGGGCAAGCGUUAUCCGGAUUUACUGGGUGUAAAGGGAGCGUAGACGGCAGCACAAGUCUGGAGUGAAAUGGCGGGGCUUAACCCCUGAACUGCUUUGGAAACUGUGCAGCUAGAGUGCAGGAGAGGUAAGUGGAAUUCCUAGUGUAGCGGUGAAAUGCGUAGAUAUUAGGAGGAACACCAGUGGCGAAGGCGGCUUACUGGACUGUAACUGACGUUGAGGCUCGAAAGCGUGGGGAGCAAACAGGAUUAGAUACCCCUGUAGUC